GCCUAAGAGAUUAGGUGUUCCCUUCGGGGACAGAAUGACAGGUGGUGCAUGGUUGUCGUCAGCUCGUGUCGUGAGAUGUUGGGUUAAGUCCCGCAACGAGCGCAACCCUUAUUGUCAGUUGCCAGCAUUAAGUUGGGCACUCUGGCAAGACUGCCGGUGACAAACCGGAGGAAGGUGGGGAUGACGUCAAAUCAUCAUGCCCCUUAUGACCUGGGCUACACACGUGCUACAAUGGAUGGUACAACGAGUUGCGAACUCGCGAGAGUAAGCUAAUCUCUUAAAGUCGUUCUCAGUUCGGAUUGCAGGCUGCAACUCGCCUGCAUGAAGUCGGAAUCGCUAGUAAUCGCGGAUCAGCAUGCCGCGGUGAAUACGUUCCCGGGUCUUGUACACACCGA
rnacentral:rRNA from 1 species